AACGAACGCUGGCGGCAGGCCUAACACAUGCAAGUCGAGCGCACCCUUCGGGGUGAGCGGCGGACGGGUGAGUAACGCGUGGGAACGUGCCCUUCUCUGCGGAAUAGCCUCGGGAAACUGAGAGUAAUACCGCAUACGCCCUUUGGGGGAAAGAUUUAUCGGAGAAGGAUCGGCCCGCGUUGGAUUAGGUAGUUGGUGGGGUAAUGGCCCACCAAGCCGACGAUCCAUAGCUGGUUUGAGAGGAUGAUCAGCCACACUGGGACUGAGACACGGCCCAGACUCACAGGGGAGGCAGGCGGGGAGACUAUGAGAGAAGGGCGGCAAGGGUGGGCUGGAGGGGCGGCGGGAGUAAGGAGGGCUUGCGGGUUGAGCAGAUCGGACAGCUGGGAAGAGAAGGACGGUACGGAAAGAAGAAGCCCCGCGUACCGCCGGGCCAGCGGCCGCGGCAAUAAUCGGAUGCGCAGACGUCUGAAC
rnacentral:rRNA from 1 species